GGUCAUAGCUCAGUGGUAGCACAUCUGCUUUGCAGGCAGAAGGUCCCAGGUUCAAUCCCCAGCAUCUCCA